UUAAGUUAUUAAGGGCGCACGGUGGAUGCCUUGGCACUAGAAGCCGAUGAAGGACGUUACUAACGACGAUAUGCUUUGGGGAGCUGUAAGUAAGCUUUGAUCCAGAGAUUUCCGAAUGGGGAAACCCAACAUGAGUUAUGUCAUGUUAUCGAUAUGUGAAUACAUAGCAUAUCAGAAGGCACACCCGGAGAACUGAAACAUCUUAGUACCCGGAGGAAGAGAAAGAAAAUUCGAUUCCCUUAGUAGCGGCGAGCGAAACGGGAAGAGCCCAAACCAACAAGCUUGCUUGUUGGGGUUGUAGGACACUCUAUACGGAGUUACAAAGGACGACAUUAGAUGAAUCAUCUGGAAAGAUGAAUCAAAGAAGGUAAUAAUCCUGUAGUCGAAAAUGUUGUCUCUCUUGAGUGGAUCCUGAGUACGACGGAGCACGUGAAAUUCCGUCGGAAUCUGGGAGGACCAUCUCCUAAGGCUAAAUACUCUCUAGUGACCGAUAGUGAACCAGUACCGUGAGGGAAAGGUGAAAAGCACCCCGGAAGGGGAGUGAAAUAGAACCUGAAACCGUGUGCUUACAAGUAGUCAGAGCCCGUUAAUGGGUGAUGGCGUGCCUUUUGUAGAAUGAACCGGCGAGUUACGAUUUGAUGCAAGGUUAAGCAGUAAAUGUGGAGCCGUAGCGAAAGCGAGUCUGAAUAGGGCGUUUAGUAUUUGGUCGUAGACCCGAAACCAGGUGAUCUACCCUUGGUCAGGUUGAAGUUCAGGUAACACUGAAUGGAGGACCGAACCGACUUACGUUGAAAAGUGAGCGGAUGAACUGAGGGUAGCGGAGAAAUUCCAAUCGAACCUGGAGAUAGCUGGUUCUCUCCGAAAUAGCUUUAGGGCUAGCCUCAAGUGAUGAUUAUUGGAGGUAGAGCACUGUUUGGACGAGGGGCCCCUCUCGGGUUACCGAAUUCAGACAAACUCCGAAUGCCAAUUAAUUUAACUUGGGAGUCAGAACAUGGGUGAUAAGGUCCGUGUUCGAAAGGGAAACAGCCCAGACCACCAGCUAAGGUCCCAAAAUAUAUGUUAAGUGGAAAAGGAUGUGGCGUUGCCCAGACAACUAGGAUGUUGGCUUAGAAGCAGCCAUCAUUUAAAGAGUGCGUAAUAGCUCACUAGUCGAGUGACACUGCGCCGAAAAUGUACCGGGGCUAAACAUAUUACCGAAGCUGUGGAUUGUCCUUUGGACAAUGGUAGGAGAGCGUUCUAAGGGCGUUGAAGCAUGAUCGUAAGGACAUGUGGAGCGCUUAGAAGUGAGAAUGCCGGUGUGAGUAGCGAAAGACGGGUGAGAAUCCCGUCCACCGAUUGACUAAGGUUUCCAGAGGAAGGCUCGUCCGCUCUGGGUUAGUCGGGUCCUAAGCUGAGGCCGACAGGCGUAGGCGAUGGAUAACAGGUUGAUAUUCCUGUACCACCUAUAAUCGUUUUAAUCGAUGGGGGGGACGCAGUAGGAUAGGCGAAGCGUGCGAUUGGAUUGCACGUCUAAGCAGUAAGGCUGAGUAUUAGGCAAAUCCGGUACUCGUUAAGGCUGAGCUGUGAUGGGGAGAAGACAUUGUGUCUUCGAGUCGUUGAUUUCACACUGCCGAGAAAAGCCUCUAGAUAGAAAAUAGGUGCCCGUACCGCAAACCGACACAGGUAGUCAAGAUGAGAAUUCUAAGGUGAGCGAGCGAACUCUCGUUAAGGAACUCGGCAAAAUGACCCCGUAACUUCGGGAGAAGGGGUGCUCUUUAGGGUUAACGCCCAGAAGAGCCGCAGUGAAUAGGCCCAAGCGACUGUUUAUCAAAAACACAGGUCUCUGCUAAACCGUAAGGUGAUGUAUAGGGGCUGACGCCUGCCCGGUGCUGGAAGGUUAAGAGGAGUGGUUAGCUUCUGCGAAGCUACGAAUCGAAGCCCCAGUAAACGGCGGCCGUAACUAUAACGGUCCUAAGGUAGCGAAAUUCCUUGUCGGGUAAGUUCCGACCCGCACGAAAGGCGUAACGAUUUGGGCACUGUCUCAACGAGAGACUCGGUGAAAUCAUAGUACCUGUGAAGAUGCAGGUUACCCGCGACAGGACGGAAAGACCCCGUGGAGCUUUACUGUAGCCUGAUAUUGAAAUUCGGCACAGCUUGUACAGGAUAGGUAGGAGCCUUUGAAACGUGAGCGCUAGCUUACGUGGAGGCGCUGGUGGGAUACUACCCUAGCUGUGUUGGCUUUCUAACCCGCACCACUUAUCGUGGUGGGAGACAGUGUCAGGCGGGCAGUUUGACUGGGGCGGUCGCCUCCUAAAAGGUAACGGAGGCGCUCAAAGGUUCCCUCAGAAUGGUUGGAAAUCAUUCAUAGAGUGUAAAGGCAUAAGGGAGCUUGACUGCGAGACCUACAAGUCGAGCAGGGUCGAAAGACGGACUUAGUGAUCCGGUGGUUCCGCAUGGAAGGGCCAUCGCUCAACGGAUAAAAGCUACCCCGGGGAUAACAGGCUUAUCUCCCCCAAGAGUUCACAUCGACGGGGAGGUUUGGCACCUCGAUGUCGGCUCAUCGCAUCCUGGGGCUGUAGUCGGUCCCAAGGGUUGGGCUGUUCGCCCAUUAAAGCGGUACGCGAGCUGGGUUCAGAACGUCGUGAGACAGUUCGGUCCCUAUCCGUCGUGGGCGUAGGAAAUUUGAGAGGAGCUGUCCUUAGUACGAGAGGACCGGGAUGGACAUACCUCUGGUGUACCAGUUGUCGUGCCAACGGCAUAGCUGGGUAGCUAUGUGUGGACGGGAUAAGUGCUGAAAGCAUCUAAGCAUGAAGCCCCCCUCAAGAUGAGAUUUCCCAACUUCGGUUAUAAGAUCCCUCAAAGAUGAUGAGGUUAAUAGGUUCGAGGUGGAAGCAUGGUGACAUGUGGAGCUGACGAAUACUAAUCGAUCGAAGACUUAAUCAA
rnacentral:rRNA from 1 species